rnacentral:rRNA from 2 species
AUGCAAGUCGAACGAGUGUCUCGCKSUGAUGAUCGGUGCUUGCACCGAGAUUCAACAURGAACGAGUGGCGGACGGGUGAGUAACACGUGGGUAACCUGCCCUUAAGUGGGGGAUAACAUUUGGAAACAGAUGCUAAUACCGCAUAGAUCCAAGAACCGCAUGGUUCUUGGCUGAAAGAUGGCGUAAGCUAUCGCUUUUGGAUGGACCCGCGGCGUAUUAGCUAGUUGGUGAGGUAAYGGCUCACCAAGGCGAUGAUACGUAGCCGAACUGAGAGGUUGAUCGGCCACAUUGGGACUGAGACACGGCCCAAACUCCUACGGGAGGCAGCAGUAGGGAAUCUUCCACAAUGGACGCAAGUCUGAUGGAGCAACGCCGCGUGAGUGAAGAAGGCUUUCGGGUCGUAAAACUCUGUUGUUGGAGAAGAAUGGUCGGCAGAGUAACUGUUGYCGGCGUGACGGUAUCCAACCAGAAAGCCACGGCUAACUACGUGCCAGCAGCCGCGGUAAUACGUAGGUGGCAAGCGUUAUCC